rnacentral:rRNA from 1 species
GAUGAACGCUGGCGGCGUGCCUAAUACAUGCAAGUCGAGCGAACGGACGAGAAGCUUGCUUCUCUGAUGUUAGCGGCGGACGGGUGAGUAACACGUGGAUAACCUACCUAUAAGACUGGGAUAACUUCGGGAAACCGGAGCUAAUGCCGGAUAAUAUUUUGAACCGCAUGGUUCAAAAGUGAAAGACGGUCUUGCUGUCACUUAUAGAUGGAUCCGCGCUGCAUUAGCUAGUUGGUAAGGUAACGGCUUACCAAGGCAACGAUGCAUAGCCGACCUGAGAGGGUGAUCGGCCACACUGGAACUGAGACACGGUCCAGACUCCUACGGGAGGCAGCAGUAGGGAAUCUUCCGCAAUGGGCGAAAGCCUGACGGAGCAACGCCGCGUGAGUGAUGAAGGUCUUCGGAUCGUAAAACUCUGUUAUUAGGGAAGAACAUAUGUGUAAGUAACUGUACACAUCUUGACGGUACCUAAUCAGAAAGCCACGGCUAACUACGUG